GGCCGCUCGAUGAUGUGUCUCACCCGUCUACGCCAGGAGGGUUGGCACGGCUCUGCGCAGCCGCUCCAGAAGCUCCAAGCCGUCACGCUAUACGCCUGAGCUGGAGUUCGGAGCAUUGUGUCAUUGGAGCUAAUGAAAUUCUUCGCUUGGGACGCUUUGGGGAGAAGCCACAUGUCACGCCAUUGGACAUGCUAAUCUUGUCAUUACAAAAGCAGCAGACGAGGGCGCAUUGAGGGUCCGGGACUGUUUAAACACGUGCGCGCCCAGACGGUAUGUCUCCUGUGAUAGUUCCAGGCAGGGUUUGUUCGCCAGACGUUUGUAAUGACUUCUGCGUGAUGCUCCCGGGAGUUCAAGCGACGGUAAUAACCUUCAUCUCCACCACGAUCAUCAUCAUCAUCCCCGGGUGAGACUGACGCGUCUGCAUGACCUCACAAAUACGUUCGGUAUCUUUUAUUUAAAACAACCCAAAAAAACCCCCUCAAAAGCAUAAUGCUAACGUUCAAUGGAAAAUGCCAUUCAUAUGCUAAUGAUUAGCAUCAAUCGGAAAUGUAUAUAAUCA